GAUGAACGCUGGCGGCGUGCCUAAUACAUGCGAGUCGAGCGAACAGACGAGGAGCUUGCUCCUCUGACGUUAGCGGCGGACGGGUGAGUAACACGUGGAUAACCUACCUAUAAGACUGGGAUAACUUCGGGAAACCGGAGCUAAUACCGGAUAAUAUAUUGAACCGCAUGGUUCAAUAGUGAAAGACGGUUUUGCUGUCACUUAUAGAUGGAUCCGCGCCGCAUUAGCUAGGUGGUAAGGUAACGGCUUACCAAGGCAACGAUGCGUAGCCGACCUGAGAGGGUGAUCGGCCACACUGGAACUGAGACACGGUCCAGACUCCUACGGGAGGCAGCAGUAGGGAAUCUUCCGCAAUGGGCGAAAGCCUGACGGAGCAACGCCGCGUGAGUGAUGAAGGUCUUCGGAUCGUAAAACUCUGUUAUUAGGGAAGAACAAAUGUGUAAGUAACUAUGCACGUCUUGACGGUACCUAAUCAGAAAGCCACGGCUAACUACGUG
rnacentral:rRNA from 1 species